rnacentral:rRNA from 1 species
AGAACGACUCUUGGCAACGGAUAUCUCGGCUCUGGCAUCGAUGUAGAACGCAGCGAAAUGCGAUACUUGGUGUGAAUUGCAGAAUCCCGUGAACCAUCGAGUCUUUGAACGCAAGUUGCGCUCGAGGCCAUGAGGCCGAGGGCACGCCUGCCUAGGCGUCACGC